GUAGGUAGCAAGCGUUGUCCGGAAUUAUUGGGCGUAAAGCGCGCGCAGGCGGUUCUUUAAGUCUGAUGUGAAAGCCCACGGCUCAACCGUGGAGGGUCAUUGGAAACUGGAGAACUUGAGUACAGAAGAGGAAAGCGGAAUUCCACGUGUAGCGGUGAAAUGCGUAGAGAUGUGGAGGAACACCAGUGGCGAAGGCGGCUUUCUGGUCUGUAACUGACGCUGAGGCGCGAAAGCGUGGGGAGCAAACAGGGAUUAGAUACCCUGGUAGUCCACGCCGUAAACGAUGAGUGCUAAGUGUUAGGGGGUUUCCGCCCCCUUAGUGCUGCAGCUAACGCAUUAAGCACUCCGCCUGGGGAGUACGGCCGCAAGGCUG
rnacentral:rRNA from 1 species